rnacentral:rRNA from 1 species
GAUGAACGCUGGCGGCGUGCUUAACACAUGCAAGUCGAACGAAGCACCUCUCCCGAAGAUUGACACAGCUUGCUGUAGAUUGAUUCAUUUGAGGUGACUGAGUGGCGGACGGGUGAGUAACGCGUGGGUAACCUGCCUCAUAGAGGGGGACAACAGUUGGAAACGACUGCUAAUACCGCAUAGUAAGAAGAAUUCGCAUGUUUUCUUCUUGAAAGAUUUAUCGCUAUGAGAUGGACCCGCGUCUGAUUAGCUAGUUGGUAAGGUAACGGCUUACCAAGGCGAAGAUAAGGAGCCGGAUUGAGAGAGGGAACGGCCACAUUGGGACUGAGACACGGCCCAAACUCCUACGGGAGGCAGCAGUGGGGAAUAUUGCACAAUGGGGGAAACCCUGAUGCAGCGACGCCGCGUGAGUGAAGAAGUAUUUCGGUAUGUAAAGCUCUAUCAGCAGGGAAGAUAAUGACGGUACCUGACUAAGAAGCCCCGGCUAACUACGUG